rnacentral:rRNA from 1 species
AUACGGAGGGAGCAAGCGUUAUUCGGAAUCACUGGGCGUAAAGGACGCGUAGGCGGGUUUGUAAGUCAGGUGUGAAAUCCUACAGCUCAACUGUAGAACUGCACUUGAAACUACAGACCUAGAGUAUGGAAGGGGCAGAUGGAAUUAGUGGUGUAGGGGUAAAAUCCGUAGAUAUCACUAGGAAUACCGAAAGCGAAGGCGAUCUGCUGGGACAUUACUGACGCUGAGGCGUGGAAGCGUGGGGAGCAAACAGGAUUAGAAACCCCAGUAGUCC